rnacentral:rRNA from 1 species
CCUACGGGUGGCAGCAGUGGGGAAUAUUGCGCAAUGGGCGAAAGCCUGACGCAGCGACGCCGCGUGAGGGAUGAAGGUCUUCGGAUCGUUAACCUCUGUCAGCAGGGAAGAACGGUCACUGUGCUAAUCAGCAGUGAAUUGACGGUACCUGCAAAGGAAGCACCGGCUAACUCCGUGCCAGCAGACGCGGUAAUACGGAGGGUGCUAGCGUUAAUCGGAAUUACUGGGCGUAAAGCGCUCGUAGGCGGUAUGUCAAGGCAAGGGUGAAAUCCCCGCGCUCAACGUGGGAACUGCCUGUGAAACUGGCAAACUGGAGUGUGUGAGAGGAUAGUGGAAUUCCAGGUGUAGGAGUGAAAUGCGUAGAUAUCUGGCGGAACAUCAGUGGCGAAGGCGACUAUCUGGCACAUAACUGACGCUGAGGAGCGAAAGCGUGGGUAGCAAACAGGAUUAGAUACCCGAGUAGUC